rnacentral:rRNA from 1 species
AAGCAGGGGAUCGUAAGACCUUGCGCUUUUGGAGUGGCCGAUGCCUGAUUAGCUAGUUGGUGGGGUAAAGGCCUACCAAGGCGACGAUCAGUAGUUGGUCUGAGAGGACGACCAGCCACACUGGGACUGAGACACGGCCCAGACUCCUACGGGAGGCAGCAGUGGGGAAUUUUGGACAAUGGGCGAAAGCCUGAUCCAGCAAUGCCGCGUGAGUGAAGAAGGCCUUCGGGUUGUAAAGCUCUUUCAGUCGAGAAGAAAAGAUCGUGAUGAAUAAUCACAAUUCAUGACGGUAUCGACAGAAGAAGCACCGGCUAACUACGUGCCAGCAGCCGCGGUAAUACGUAGGGUGCAAGCGUUAAUCGGAAUUACUGGGCGUAAAGGGUGCGCAGGCGGCUUUGUAAGUCAGAUGUGAAAUCCCCGGGCUUAACCUGGGAAUUGCGUUUGAAACUACAAAGCUUA